CGAGGCCCCCCAAACGGAGACGCCGCCGCCGCUGCUGCCGGCAGACCCAGAGCGGGCAGCUGCUUCGGCGAGGUGGACUGGAAUUCCUGUACCUACCAUAUGAGGCUGUAACAGAGAUACAAGAAAUUAUUUGAGCAUUUAGAGAA